CUCUUUGGACACUCGUAAACAGGUGGUGCAUGGUUGUCGUCAGCUCGUGUCGUGAGAUGUUGGGUUAAGUCCCGCAACGAGCGCAACCCUCGUUCUAUGUUGCCAGCACGUAAUGGUGGGAACUCAUGGGAUACUGCCGGGGUCAACUCGGAGGAAGGUGGGGAUGACGUCAAAUCAUCAUGCCCCUUAUGUCUUGGGCUUCACGCAUGCUACAAUGGCCGGUACAAAGGGCUGCAAUACCGUGAGGUGGAGCGAAUCCCAAAAAGCCGGUCCCAGUUCGGAUUGAGGUCUGCAACUCGACCUCAUGAAGUCGGAGUCGCUAGUAAUCGCAGAUC
rnacentral:rRNA from 1 species